UGUCAUUCUUACACGAGGAUGAAUUCAUUACGAGAGCAGAUCUUAACCGUGUGUUGGACAAAGGCCAUGCCAUGCAUUCAGAUGCCAGAAAGAGGUUUGUGAACAGCGUGUUUCUAGCCUGCGAUGAGCUUCCCUCAGUGGUCACCAGCCGCACACACAAGUAUCAAGUGGACAUGUCUCAGUUUGCUCUUUACGGCGCAUUUGAUGGUACAGAUCAUCUUCCGAGCCUUGAACAGGGACUACAGUGUUUGGUUUCAGCGGUUCGCUAUGCUUUGCUAGUCAUGGGAGGAAACGUCAUUGCAGUUUGCAGGCUGACUUCAGGACUUGGAUGAGAAAAGGAUUUAUGCCAAUCCUGAGGUAACUGCAGCGCUCCAAACCAUGAGACAAGCCAGCGUUGAGGAAAUGAUGCCUCUUCUUCAGAGUCUCACCUCCAA